UUGGCAGUGGUGUCUUCUGAACAUGAUGUUCGUCUUUAAAGGUGUAGGUCUUGUUUGUGAUUUUUCUGUGCCUUCCCUGGUGACAGUGUUGGCCUGGUGCAAGCAUGCAGCUGCAAAGAAGUAACACAAGUAGACAAUGCAGGACAUGGGUGUCUGCACUGUUGAAAACCAGCUUAUGUGAAUCUGAGGUGUCUACGUAACAUGACACUGAUGUAGCCAGUGGAGGGAGUUUGCCAUUCUUCUUUAGUUGUUGCACCACGAACUUCUUCUUUAGCUUUGCGUUGCACCAUGAACUUGAGCUGUGCAAUUUCUGAAUAUUGUCAACCAAAAGUGCAGAUAGUUGGGCUUGUUGGUUGUACAGGGUCGACCACAUCUAAAGUGAACACCUCGUAAGUAUUCAAGCCAGUAAAACUACAUCUAUUCUUCUUCAAGAGGGAAAUGUUCAUUACAUGACUCCUAAUCAUGGUUUCGAUAAACACACUAAUAAUUUUCUGUAUUAUCUACUAAACUGAAGCUUUAUCUAUGAAGUAUUGAAUUACUAAUGAGGUGUUCACCUUAGAUGUGUACGACCCUGUACAUACUCAAAGAACAGCGCGAAAAAUGACAGGACAACCGAAGAGAUUUCAGCAUUGUGUGCGUCUUGUGUUGUCCUGUCAUGUCUUGCGCCAUUCCUUGAAGUUUUGUCGACCAGUUCAGAGUGGUGCAGGCGAAUCCAACAGACCAUAUGACAAAGCGCAAGUUCUGAAAUGCAAGAGACAGUCACAAAACUGCUUUUGCACGAACACUGUGAUGUUCUUCGCUGCAGGCACGAAUGCUGUGAUCAUCCGGCGUGUCGUGUACUGCUGUGACGUAUGUGGAGAAGCUUUCCCAACAACUGCGGAUCUGGACAACCACCGGCAGGACCCUCACCACGAGAGGCCGGAGGGCAAGCACCGGUGCUCUUAUUGCCCCUACAGCAGUGAUAACAAGUCCCACACCACCAGGCAUGAGCGGACCCAUACAGGCGAGCGUCCGUUUACCUGCACUGUCUGCCAGAAGGGCUUCAGCCGAGCCGACAGACUCGAGAGACACAUGAACAUACACACUAGGGAGAUGUCGAUGGAGCACAGCAAGUACGGACAAUAUGACAAGCCCGAGGCACCACAAGAAGCAGCACUCGCAGGACACCAAAGCACACACCUGCCCCUGCUGCGGCAAGACGUUUGGCCAGAGGGCACAAUACCUCAGGCAGCAUCUUACAACGCACACACACAAGCGGCCAUAGCAGUGCAGGAGGUGUUUCCCUCAUUUCGCCACUUUAAUAUACUAUCGCAAGAGUGCAGGGCUUUGGACAAUAGUGCAUGCUCUGCCGCAGCAGCCUCGCCAACAGCUACAGGCGGAGAAUAUGCAUUCGUGCGAACCACUCAGGUUACAGUGGCACUUGACAACAAGGAAGAGAUGCAGACCGUGAAGUUAGAAUGAAAGUAGUCCAUACUUAGGACUGUGCAGCGCUCACCAAAAAGACGAAGGAUGAAAGAAGUGCUUGUUGUGUGCACUUCUUUUGUUCUUAGUCUCUUUUGUGAGUGCUGCAUAGUCCCAUGUGUGAAUCCAUAUCAACUAGCUCAGUUUUUGUUGUAUCCGCCACGAUGCCCUGCCAGACUACAUCGGAGAGCCGCAGGACAGCGAAGUUCACUGCACCAGCCCAGUACAUAGAGCAACUCUGUUGUAUUGUUAGUCCACGAUGGCAUAUACACAGAUGCAUGUGUUAGCUGACAUGAUAAGGGGCGUGCCUAGUGCCAUCUAGGUCAUAUAAACGCAACUGCUGAAUACCACAGUUUUCUAUUCCAAGAAAGCAGUCCGAUGUGUGCAGUGUUUGGCACCUAAACAGGGUGCAGUGAAUGGUGUGUUGGCAUCGCGAGUGUGAUAGGGCGAAUCGCAGCGAGCUCGACUGCCCAGCGUUUCCAAAGGCUGGCACUUUAAAGCACACCUAUUGCUACUAUCACAGGGUGCUCCAAAGGUAUUUUACAGAAGCACCGACACAAAAUUUUGUAUUGUGCUUUUUCUGUUGCAUUAAUAGGUAAUGGCCCAUUUAUAACGGCUGGAAAUGUUGUUUUGCUCAAGCGUGUGGCAGUUAAUUAUUUAGAGAUAAUAAACACAACUGCACACACGACCAAAUGAACUAGUGACGUACAUAGGCGUUGUGCACGAGCGGGGCAUGGGGGGCCCGAGUCUGCCACACACCUUUACUUAAUCGUACCUGCCCUGUCAUUGUUUAAAGUGCAAGGUUAUCGCCAUGCAGUUAUUUUAUGAUAAUAGGCGGCCGAGGACCAUUGCUGUUGCAUUCCGAGAGCUGUUUAACUUCCCGUUUUUACCCCCUGAAAGCCUGGGGACCAAAGGCAGGCCAUUUUCUGAGAAGCACGUCAUUGCUUUAUAUUCAUUUUUGCAUCCACAGUUAAGCUUGUUUUUGUUCGAACUCGACCAAUGAAGGGGGGUUGCUGCAGCGAGACUUUGCCACCCCCCUAAUGGGGAACCCUGCACAUGCCUAUGGCGACGCAUGCACCGUGGACAGGAACACGCUCAGAUCAGUACUGUAUGACAACAGAGGCAGACAGCAUGGGCAAGGAGCAUGGCAGCCAACAAGAACAUGUGACUUAGGUGGUCGCAAGGUUCCCACUUUUGUGCAGCCUACAUUAAAUUUGAUUUUAAGUGCGUUCUCAAUGCAACAUUGCCUUAACUAAUGUGCAGUGACGUGCCUGCAAAACAUGCGCUGUUAUCGUGUUGGCCACCUUGAGCACAGAUUCAUCUAUAAUGCACUCUUGAAAUAAAUCUUUUUUGGUUACUGGCUUAUCUGCUGUCCGGCACGUGUUGUUACAGUGGUGUUGAGACAUGGUCUCCUCAUCCGUGCGGCCAGUGAAAUUGACGAAAUGGUGUGGAGUGUCUUCAUUGCAGAGUUCAAUGUUAGCGGUAGUGCAGCAUGGGAAGGAUUCGUCGAGCGCAUCAAAUUGUGUGCCAUUAAUAAGUUAACAAUGGAUGCAGACAAGAGGACUGCAUUGAUUAGCCGUUACAGACCAGAAACACAACAAGCAGUGAUGCUUGUCAAGCCUCUGCGACCGCCAAAUGUGGAUUGCAAGGUUAGUAUCGACAGCAUGGGGAAACACGUCCAGCCAAGGCCAUCCGUACUCUACUUGAGGUACGGGUUCGCGAAACACGAUUAGUAAAGUGGAAAAUCCGUUGCCGAUUAUGUUGCCGCCUUUAUGCAAGUUAGCUGGAAACUGUGGUAUUGAAUGUAUUAUGUAAGACUAUUUCUGCAGCCCUUGAAGUUCACUAUAGUUCGGCAUCUCUAGUGGCUCAACUUAUUCAGCCACAGCUGUUUUCGUGUUGCAGUCAUUGUAUGUA